UCUCCAAUCAAAAUCAACGUGUGUUCUCUCUACAGUACACAAAUUCACUCACUCUAAAAUACACACAUUCUUGAAACCCCAUUAAUCUCAAAAUUCCAAAGAAAUAGAAGUCUAUAUUUUCCUUUUUAUUCAUUCUUCAACCACCGGCAUCUCGCAUAAGCUCCAUAUCCAUCACCACCACCGGCAUUAUCAUCACAAAGUUUCCUUGUAAAACUGAAGUAUUACACUUUUUUUUUUCCACCCUCAGAAGUUUUAAAAAUGGUUUUAACUCGUCGUGUCAAUGAUAAGAGAAGGGAAAAAGAGAAAGAAAAAAAAGGAAGAAAGAUGUUGAGGAAUCUUCUUCACCCAAGAGAGUGAAAUGUCGGCAUCGGGAGGACAAUCAAUGAAAAAUGUGAAAUCCGAUCUUUGUCCCUCAAUUUUUUUACGUUGAUCAUGGCAUUAAUCAGGUUUUGUGAAAUGAUUUGUGUAAUGUGUGACCCAGUUCGAGAGAUUUGUAACCUGUUUUGGGUAUUGUGUGACUGGAAUACCAUUUUGUGACCUGUGUUGGAUAUUUCGUGUCUUGAAUAGUUUUCGUGACCUAUUUUGUUUACCGUGUGACCAAAUACCAUUUAUGUGAUUUGAAUACGAUUUUGUGACAUGUGCUGGAUAUUUUGAGACCUAAAGUAGUAUUUUGUGAAUUGAUUUCGAUAAUUUGUGACCUAUUUCAUGAGUUUGUCACAUGAUUCAGAUUAUUUGUGAACGUAUUCCAUAAUCCUCGUGAAAAUGACAUUAUGUUUGCU
rnacentral:lncRNA from 1 species